GUGGGGAAUAUUGGACAAUGGGCGAAAGCCUGAUCCAGCCAUGCCGCGUGUGUGAAGAAGGUCUUCGGAUUGUAAAGCACUUUAAGUUGGGAGGAAGGGCAGUAAGUUAAUACCUUGCUGUUUUGACGUUACCGACAGAAUAAGCACCGGCUAACUUCGUGCCAGCAGCCGCGGUAAUACGAAGGGUGCAAGCGUUCAUCGGAAUUACUGGGCGUAAAGCGCGCGUAGGUGGUUUUGUAAGUUGGAGGUGAAAUCCCCGGGCUCAAACUGGGAACUGCCUCCAAAACUGCAUGACUAGAGUACGGUAGAGGGUAGUGGAAUUUCCUGUGUAGCGGUGAAAUGCGUAGAUAUAGGAAGGAACACCAGUGGCGAAGGCGACUACCUGGACUGAUACUGACACUGAGGUGCGAAAGCGUGGGGAGCAAACAGGAUUAGAAACCCUGGUAGUCC
rnacentral:rRNA from 1 species